AUAUAUAUAUAUAUAUAUAUAUAUAUAUAUAUAUAUAUAUAUACACACACAUAUGCAUGCACAAACGUUUUAAUCCAACUUAAAGCUCAGUGGUCAAAUACGCACACCAACACAUAUCCAGAACUGUUUCAGUUUAAUUUAACAUCCUCAAUAUCCUGGACAAUACCUUCUGCCCUACUAAAACUCUACAGAACAGGCAGGUAAAACAUGGGGUUGCUGAUUGCACUCAACACUCGUGGUGUAUAUAUCCAGCACAUGUUAGUACCAAGAGUGGAGUGUUGUGCUGCAGUUUCACACUUACCUGAUUACCUACCUGCUACAGCUGUGACAAUCUUCUUUUCCACCUGCCUCACACCCUCAGCACCUACUUACUGGAUCCAGUCUUUCUUAUGCAGUAUUACUGCAUCAGUUUUCUUUGCUGAGAAAGAGAGGCCUUGGAAUGGGGGAGGUACGUAAGCAGUAUCAGUUUCUUCAUCCAUGCGCCAAACUCUGUAUAUCCACUGUCUCUGUUCACCACACAGAACUUCCCUGAACAAUCAACCUCUCUUCAUAGCAUUGCUUCGCACCUGCGCUCUCCUCUCUCUUGUAACUAUCUAACAACUGUGAUAAUGGCUUUUUGCUUGUUUUACAAUGAAUUCAUUUCACCCCACCUUGCACCUUACAUUGUCUAUCUGGUAUUGACUCAUGUCCUCACCCUCACUGCCCUUACCACUAUGCUCACACAACUCAUUUUGACCACCACAAAUAUUACUGGUAUUACCAUCAUACUGCCAGUGUUUGAUUUGUUCACUUUUUUCUUCUCCAAUUGAAAAGUCCUUCCCAUUUGACUAUAUUACUUCAUAGCAGUUAUUACAGCCUAUUUUUUACUUUCUACAAACCUUUUACAAUAAGUUAGACAAGCACAAACAUGGCAGUUUUUAUGUUUCACUGUCCUAUCCUUCUCCCUCCCCCUAUUUUACCUGUUUACACACACACACAUGCACAUACAUACUCCUCCCUGUAUUACUCCCUAUUUAUCUCUUCCCCAAUUUGCUUUCCUUCUGUCUCUUACCUCCUCCCACUUCUGUCAAUUUUUCCCCUGUCAAUUGUGAUUCUCCUUUAGCCAGGAAAUGCUUUAAAAAUAAGUUUCACUCCCAUGGAAUGAAAGAUAGCAACCCUACAUUCCUCUAAACAUAUCAAUGAAGUUGAAGUUUGCUGUUCAAUUAUUCUUUUUUUGUUUUGUUUUUGCUUUUUGAAUAUAUUCCAAAUCAAAAUCCAAACCCAGAAACACACAAUCACAGAAACAUGUUAAAGAGGCUUAAUUCCUUUCCCAUACUUUCUGUUGUUGACUUCUAUGUUAUUUCUUAUCGUUUAUAGUAAACUCUAUUCUCUCUCACCCUAUAUCCUUCAGACUAGACCUAACAUAUAUCUCCCAAUUCAACACCAUCCCCUGGUCCUUGGAUGCCCUUCCUUAACAGAGUUCAUUCUCUUGCAAGCAUUCAAACUGGACCUCAAUCCCGAUCAGAUUCCCUUCCUCACAUUUUUCCAACAGACAUUGGUCUGCUGAUGAUGAGGCUUGACAUCAGGGUAACAUCAUUCUCACUAAUCUUUGAGAGCCUCCUAAGUUCAUGAGUGCUGGCACUAUUUCUUCUGAUUAACUUUAAAGGGAAUAAAAAAAAAAUCACAACACUAAGAUCGUUCUACAGACCUACAUAAAGGAAGCUAGAAUGUUCUUUCUUCAUGUUCAUGCUACCACACGCACACAAGUAAACAACCUGCAACAUUUCAAACAGAACACAUCUGGUUUACCACCAUCACUACCUGGCCCUUGGGUAUGUUUAGUGGAAUCUGUUCUGUUUUGAGCAUUUAGUCCAGCUCUUCAGUGUAAGGAUGACUUUCUCCUUGACUAAACAUUUUUUAAAAAUCUCUUUAUCCCUAAUCCUCAGCAUAGGAUAAUCUAAAAGAAAUGAUGGCAAACUCAGCCCAACAAGUAAAAGCAAAUACAUACACACAAAUGCAUAGAGACCUUUUUGCCAAAUAAACUGUAUAUGAAAUCAGAAUUCUCUUAACUCUUUGCCUUAAUUUUCAGUUGUUGUUAAGGCAACAAAGUGACAAAAUUAUUAGCACGAUGGACAAAAAUGCUUUGCAACACUACUUUCAGCUUUAUAUUCUGAGUUCAAAUACCACUAGGGUUGGCUUUGACUUUCAUUCUUUUGGGGUUGAUAAAAAAGUACCAAUUGAACAUUCGAUUUAAUGUAAUCAACUGGCCCUUCCUUUAAAAUUUCAGACCUUAUGCUUAUAGUAGAAAAAAAUUACUAUUAUUUAGACAGGAAAUUGGCAGAAUCAUUAGUGUGUUGCACAAAAUACUUAGCAUUCUCUGUAGCUCUAUAUGUUCUGAGUUCAAAUUUCACCAGGGUUGACUUUACCUUUCCAUCCUUUCAGGAUCAUCAAUAUAAUCCCUUCCCCUUAAACUUGCUGGCCGUGUGCCAAAAUUUGAAACCAUUAAUUAUUAUUAUUAUUUCUCUCUCUGGAGAGGGGAGGGGCAUCAUAAAUGAUUAAGCACCAAUAAAGGAUAAAAUGUU